GAUGAAUGCUGGCGGCGUGCCUAAUACAUGCAAGUCGAGCGGUAAGGCCCUUCGGGGUACACGAGCGGCGGACGGCUGAGUAACGCGUGGGAACAUGCCCCAAAGUGAGGGAUAACGCACCGAAAGGUGUGCUAAUACCGCAUAUGGUCUUCGGAUUAAAGGAUUUAUCCGCUUUGGGAGUGGCCCGCGUACGAUUAGAUUGUUGGUGAGGUAACGGCUCACCAAGUCGACGAUCGUUAACUGGUCUGAGAGGAUGAUCAGUCAGACUGGAACUGAGACACGGUCCAGACUCCUACGGGAGGCAGCAGUAAGGAAUCUUCCACAAUGGGCGAAAGCCUGAUGGAGUAACGCCGCGUGCAGGAUGAAGGACCCUCGGGUCGUAAACUGCUUUAUGAGUGAAGAAUAUGACGGUAACUCAUGAAUAAGCACCGGCUAACUACGUGCCAGCAGCCGCGGUAAU
rnacentral:rRNA from 1 species